GUGAGUAACACGUGGGUUAUCUACCUUUGAGUGAGGAAUACCGGCGAGAAAUCGCUGACAAUUCCGCAUGUGCUUGCUUUUACGAGCAAGUAAAGCCGAAAGGUGCUCGAAGAUGAGCUCGCGGCCGAUUAGCUAGUUGGUGGGGUAAAAGCCUACCAAGGCGACGAUCGGUAGCUGGUCUGAGAGGACGAGCAGCCACACUGGGAUUGAGAACGGCCCAGACUCCUACGGGAGGCAGCAGUGAGGAAUUUUCCGCAAUGGACGCAAGUCUGACGGAGCAACGCCGCGUGCAGGAAGACGGCCUUCGGGUUGUAAACUGCUUUUCUCUAGGAAGAGAACGGACGGUACUAGAGGAAGAAGUCCCCGGCUAACUACGUGCCAGCAGCCGCGGUAAUACGUAGGGGGCAAGCGUUGUCCGGAUUUAUUGGGCGUAAAGCGCAUGCAGGCGGUCGUGUAAGUGGAAGGUGACAC
rnacentral:rRNA from 1 species